ACACUUUGGCAGCAAAUAUCCUAAACUGGGCUGAUACAGAGAAGAUUGGCAUGGCCCCUGCACAAGGAUGACAUGCAAAUUUGUGAAGCUUUGGGGCCUCUU